rnacentral:rRNA from 1 species
AGGACGAACGCUGGCGGCGUGCUUAACACAUGCAAGUCGAGCGGAAAGGCCCUUCGGGGUACUCGAGCGGCGAACGGGUGAGUAACACGUGAGCAACCUGCCCUUAGCUCUGGGAUAGCUCCGGGAAACCGGAAUUAAUACCGGAUACGACCUAGGCCGACAUCGGCCAUGGUGGAAAGUUUUUCGGCUAGGGAUGGACUCGCGGCCUAUCAGCUAGUUGGUGGGGUAAAGGCCUACCAAGGCGACGACGGGUAGCCGGCCUGAGAGGGCGACCGGCCACACUGGGACUGAGACACGGCCCAGACUCCUACGGGAGGCAGCAGUGGGGAAUCUUGCGCAAUGGGCGAAAGCCUGACGCAGCGACGCCGCGUGGGGGAUGAAGGCCUUCGGGUUGUAAACCCCUUUCAGCAGGGACGAAGCGAAAGUGACGGUACCUACAGAAGAAGCGCCGGCUAACUACGCGCCAGCAGCCGC